AGGGAAUCUUCCACAAUGGACGCAAGUCUGAUGGAGCAACGCCGCGUGAGUGAAGAAGGUUUUCGGACCGUAAAGCUCUGUUGUUGGUGAAGAAGGAUAGAGGUAGUAACUGGCCUUUAUUUGACGGUAAUCAACCAGAAAGUCACGGCUAACUACGUGCCAGCAGCCGCGGUAAUACGUAGGCGGCAAGCGUUGUCCGGAUUUAUUGGGCGUAAAGCGAGCGCAGGCGGAAGAAUAAGUCUGAUGUGAAAGCCCUCGGCUUAACCGAGGAAUUGCAUCGGAAACUGUUUUCUUGAGUGCAGAAGAGGAGAGUAGAACUCCAUGUGUAGCGGUGGAAUGCGUAGAUAUAUGGAAGAAUACCAGUGGCGAAGGCGGCUCUCUGGUCUGCAACUGACGCUGAGGCUCGAAAGCAUGGUAGCGAACAGGAUUAGAUACCCUGGUAGUCCAUGCCGUAAACGAUGAGUGCUAAGUGUUGGGAGGCUUCCGCCUCUCAGUGCUGCAGCUAACGCAUUAAGCACUCCGCCUGGGGGAGUACGACCGCAAGGUUGAAAC
rnacentral:rRNA from 1 species